UACAGAGGGUGCAAGCGUUGUUCGGAAUUAUUGGGCGUAAAGGGCGCGUAGGCGGUGCGGUAAGUCUGUAGUGAAAUCUCUGGGCUCAACUCAGAGUCUGCUAUAGAAACUGCCGGGCUUGAGUAUGGGAGAGGUGAGUGGAAUUCCUGGUGUAGCGGUGAAAUGCGUAGAUACCAGGAGGAACACCUGUGGCGAAAGCGGCUCACUGGACCAUAACUGACGCUGAUGCACGAAAGCUAGGGGAGCAAACAGG
rnacentral:rRNA from 1 species